GACAGAGGGUGCAAACGUUGUUCGGAAUUACUGGGCGUAAAGCGCGUGUAGGUGGCUAUGCAAGUCGGAUGUGAAAGCCCUCGGCUCAACCGGGGAAGUGCACCCGAAACUGCAAAGCUAGAGUCUCGGAGAGGAUCGUGGAAUUCUCGGUGUAGAGGUGAAAUUCGUAGAUAUCGAGAGGAACACCGGUGGCGAAGGCGGCGAUCUGGACGAUGACUGACACUGAGACGCGAAAGCGUGGGGAGCGAACAGG
rnacentral:rRNA from 1 species